rnacentral:rRNA from 1 species
CCUACGGGUGGCAGCAGUGGGGAAUAUUGCACAAUGGGGGAAACCCUGAUGCAGCGACGCCGCGUGAGUGAAGAAGUAUUUCGGUAUGUAAAGCUCUAUCAGCAGGAACGAGACAAGACGGUACCUGACUAAGAAGCCCCGGCUAACUACGUGCCAGCAGCCGCGGUAAUACGUAGGGGGCAAGCGUUAUCCGGAAGGACUGGGUGUAAGGGGAGCGCAGACGGCUGAGCAAGCCUGAAGUGAAAGGCGGGGGCCCAACCCCCGGACUGCUUUGGGAACUGUACGGCUGGAGUGCAGGAGAGGUAAGUGGAAUUCCUAGUGUAGCGGUGAAAUGCGUAGAUAGUAGGAGGAACACCAGUGGCGAAGGCGGCUUACUGGACUGUAACUGACGUUGAGGCUCGAAAGCGUGGGGAGCAAACAGGAUUAGAUACCCCUGUAGUC